rnacentral:rRNA from 1 species
GAUAAACGCUGGCGGCGUGCUUAACACAUGCAAGUCGAACGAAGUUUUUCCUUCGGGAGAAACUUAGUGGCGGACGGGGGAGUAACGCGUGGGUAACCUGCCCUGUACAGGGGGACAACAGCUGGAAACGGCUGCUAAUACCGCAUAAGCCCUUAGCACUGCAUGGUGCAUAGGGAAAAGGAGCAAUCCGGUACAGGAUGGACCCGCGUCUGAUUAGCCAGUUGGCAGGGUAACGGCCUACCAAAGCGACGAUCAGUAGCCGAUCUGAGAGGAUGUACGGCCACAUUGGGACUGAGACACGGCCCAGACUCCUACGGGAGGCAGCAGUGGGGAAUAUUGCACAAUGGAGGAAACUCUGAUGCAGCGACGCCGCGUGAGUGAAGAAGUAUUUCGGUAUGUAAAGCUCUAUCAGCAGGGAAGAAAAUGACGGUACCUGACUAAGAAGCACCGGCUAAAUACGUG